AAGAUAUUAAGUUAAAAAAACUAAUUACCUUCAAAGUAAUAAUUAUAAAUAUCUUUUAUAUCUUA
rnacentral:tRNA from 1 species